UACAGAGGGUGCGAGCGUUAAUCGGAAUUACUGGGCGUAAAGCGCACGUAGGUGGCGACGUAAGUCGGGUGUGAAAGCCCCGGGCUCAACCUGGGAAUUGCAUUCGAGACUGCAUUGCUGGAGUACGGAAGAGGAAGGCGGAAUUCCCAGUGUAGAGGUGAAAUUCGUAGAUAUUGGGAAGAACACCGGUGGCGAAGGCGGCCAUCUGGACCGCAACUGACGCUGAGGCGCGAAAGCGUGGGGAGCAAACAGG
rnacentral:rRNA from 1 species